rnacentral:rRNA from 1 species
GGCUCUCUCUAGUACGAGAGGAUCGAGAGGGACAGACGUCUGGUGUGCCAGUUGUUCCGCCAGGAGCAUCGCUGGGUAGCUAGGUCUGGUUAGGAUAAGCGCUGAAAGCAUCUAAAUGCGAAACCUGCCCCAAGAUAAUAUCUCCCACCUUUGUGAUUUAUCACAAGGGGUAAGACCGCAAGUAGACUACUUGUUUGAUAGGCGGUAGGUGUAAGAGCAGUAAUGUUUUUAGCUUAACCGUACUAAUGGUCGAGGGCUUGACCUG